rnacentral:lncRNA from 1 species
UCUGGCUACUUCCUGCUGAAAAGGGGCAAAGGUGUGGAAACUGAAGAGCGGCACCUAUCCACCUGAAGUUGAAAGUAUUUCCAGGGGCCGGGCCCAUAUCCUGCAUACUGCAAUUCCAUUAUCUGGGUGCCGUUACCUAUUAUAGUCUUGGAACAGCAUCUUAAUCUAUAUUUGAUGAUGACAUUAAUGAAAACAUGAGUUACAAUAACGAUAAGAUAGAUGGAUGAGCCAAAAGUGAUGAUACCAGAAAAUAUAGAUCGGAUCCCUUGUGAGAUCCAAGAAAACAAUCCAGAAUACCAAUCACCUAAUCCUAGUUAAUCUUCUUUUAUCUGUUGUCACCAUGAAGUUUGCUCUCUUAUUGUAUUUACAUGCAUUUCAACUUCAGCUGAGGUGUUAAUAUAAGUGAAACAGGAGGAGUUGGCCUUGUUCAGCCAGCAGGUAAUCUAAUGCGAUCCCAUUAUCUAAACAACUUACAACUUUAGCUAGAGAAUCCAAAGACUUGCUGUGCUGUGAUAGCAGCACGUUUCAUUAGCUCUAACCCUUAAAGUAACGGACACAUUUCUAAGCACGUGGUUAUGAGCAGCCACUCCUCACCAUGAAAGCAAAGUAUAUCUGAAGAAGUACCCUGUGUCAUCAGGAAUCCUGGCAAAUCUGCUUCAGAGACCACCCUGUUCCCAACAGACAGACUCUCCUUCCAGAAUUCCUUGGGAGACCCUGGGCAACAGUUUUAGGGAAUUUGUCCAGUAUUUGGUAACACUUUCAUUGUGUACCAAGAAAGAUAUCACUGAGUAUCCUAACAAACAUUGUCCAUGAUCUCCUCUCCUAAUGCACCUACAGGCCCAGGGUUGGUUUUCCUGACUGCAGAUAGAAACAUAUCCCUCAGGAGCAGGCCGGGUAUGGUGGCUCACAUCUGUAAUUCCAGCACUUUGGGAGGCCAAGGCAUGAAGUAGAAUGCCCAGGUGCCAGGAGUGAGGGAAAGACCAAAGAGAAGUAGAUCUACAGGAAUAAAGCUCCAAUUAGCAUCUCAAAGUAAUAUUCCUCUCCAUAUGCCUUUAAUUACUUUAUAUAUGUAUAUAAAGUACAUAUACUU